UACGUAGGGUGCAAGCGUUGUCCGGAAUUAUUGGGCGUAAAGAGCUCGUAGGCGGUUUGUCGCGUCUGCUGUGAAAUCCCAGGGCUUAACCCUGGGCCUGCAGUGGGUACGGGCAAACUAGAGUGCGGUAGGGGAGAUCGGAAUUCCUGGUGUAGCGGUGAAAUGCGCAGAUAUCAGGAGGAACACCGGUGGCGAAGGCGGAUCUCUGGGCCAUAACUGACGCUGAGGAGCGAAAGCAUGGGUAGCGAACAGG
rnacentral:rRNA from 1 species